rnacentral:rRNA from 1 species
UGAAACUAGAUACAAGCGAGCGGCGGACGGGUGAGUAACACGUGGGUAACCUGCCCAAGAGACUGGGAUAACACCUGGAAACAGAUGCUAAUACCGGAUAACAACACUAGACGCAUGUCUAGAGUUUGAAAGAUGGUUCUGCUAUCACUCUUGGAUGGACCUGCGGUGCAUUAGCUAGUUGGUAAGGUAACGGCUUACCAAGGCAAUGAUGCAUAGCCGAGUUGAGAGACUGAUCGGCCACAUUGGGACUGAGACACGGCCCAAACUCCUACGGGAGGCAGCAGUAGGGAAUCUUCCACAAUGGACGAAAGUCUGAUGGAGCAACGCCGCGUGAGUGAAGAAGGGUUUCGGCUCGUAAAGCUCUGUUGGUAGUGAAGAAAGAUAGAGGUAGUAACUGGCCUUUAUUUGACGGUAAUUACUUAGAAAGUCACGGCUAACUACGUGCCGGCAGCCGCGGUAAUACGUAGGUGGCAAGCGUUGUCCGGAUUUAUUGGGCGUAAAGCGAGUGCAGGCGGUUCAAUAAGUCUGAUGUGAAAGCCUUCGGCUCAACCGGAGAAUUGCAUCAGAAACUGUUGAACUUGAGUGCAGAAGAGGAGAGUGGAACUCCAUGUGUAGCGGUGGAAUGCGUAGAUAUAUGGAAGAACACCAGUGGCGAAGGCGGCUCUCUGGUCUGCAACUGACGCUGAGGCUCGAAAGCAUGGGUAGCGAACAGGAUUAGAUACCCUGGUAGUCCAUGCCGUAAACGAUGAGUGCUAAGUGUUGGGAGGUUUCCGCCUCUCAGUGCUGCAGCUAACGCAUUAAGCACUCCGCCUGGGGAGUACGACCGCAAGGGUUGAAACUCAAAGGAAUU